rnacentral:lncRNA from 1 species
UCUACUGAGACUACACAUGGCUCUGAAGCCCUCUAUCAUGAUGCACACGGAGGCAGCUCCCACCAAGCCAUGGACGGCGGAAGUUGGUCCCAGGGAUUUGAACUCAGGUCACUAGACUUGGCAGCAAGCACCUUUACCUAUUAAGCCAUCUUUUCAUCUGGCAGACAUCAUGCAGAAGGAGCUGUAGCAGGCAUGCACCUAUGUGGGGCCAGGGGGAGUAUUACUUUUCAAAGUAGCAAACCACAACAAGGAACCAGUGCUGUAGAAACUCCACACAGUUAAGCAGUGUGUCUGCUUACUGUCUGUUAUAUAACUUUAGACCCAAGGACAAUGCUUGACAGAGUCAGUAUUCAAAAAUCUGUCCAAGGUGCCUUUGUUUGGUGCUCUCUGACGAGGAGUGUUUGAGCAAUAUAUGCACAAGGAGGUUUGAAGACAUGUCUUUAACGUCUUUGCAAACUUAAUUUUUAUUGUGGAAACCAAUAAGGAGCCUGCAUCCCUUCAAUUUCUGAGCCAGUUAUCCCAGAAAAAGUUAAUGCUAGAUUGCCCUUUGGAGAUCUCAUCCAGGUUCAUCGUGAAGAUUUGAGGUCAUCCACUGGGAGGUCUGUGAUGUUGCUGAAGCAAAGACUAUCAUACCGUAGAAGUAAUAUGACCUUGGCUUUGGUAAUGGUCUGAAAUUAUAGCCUGGUUCUCUAGAUGCCAUCCAUGUGCUCUUCCUGAUAGAUUUAGAGCUAUGGGAGAUAGAGAAUAAUCAUCAGAAGGAAAGCUCCACAUAAAACAUAGACGGGGCAGUGAGAGAUGGCAAGAGUGAAGAUCUUGAUUUACACACAGGACUUCUGCCAAUGUGUGUUAGAAGAAAUUGCUGCGGUAAACCUUACUUUCUACAUCUGCUAGGUUUCUUCUAACAGCCGCCAAAACUUGAAUUGGAGAUGCUAGAGAGGAAGAUGUAGAAAAUGGGCAAAAUAUCAGCCUGAUACCAUGAGGAUGAAUGAGAGAGAGCUUACCCUUGCCUCUCCACAACUACGGCAGCUUGGUGGUUUUGGACCCAGUCUGAAAAUGUAGAAACUGAGCUGAGACUUAUUUCCGUUGAGCAUUUCUCAAAGUAUGACAUAUGCGGCAGCACUUGAGAUGAUUUUAGGGUUUGUGGACAAACUUUGUUAUCAUGCCAAUUAUAGAUAUAUCUAAUGACCAUAGAAAAUGUGAUUUGUCCCUUAAAUCUCUGCCAUCUGCCUUGUAUAUUGUUUUUUUCCAGAAUGAAGCCAAGUAAAAACAGUGAGACUGAAUAAUUGUACAAAUAGCGUGUGACAGAGUUUCAAAUGAUGAGAGAGCCUUAAGAGUUACUGACAUUU